GGUACACCAGCAGUCAAGGUGCUGGCAUAUGACAUAGACCUCUUCAAUCACUUGCACCUUUUGGAGUUGGAAAUACAAAAACUAGACUGGAAAUCAAGACAGCUUCUCUGUGUCAAAGCCCCAGGUAGAUCCGCCAGCAUGAGCUGCUUCAUGAUUGAUGAUCCAGCAAGCUGUUACAACCAUUCAGAGAGCACGCUGUGUCUUCAUUUUUACCCUAUUAACUUAAAUGCCAGGGUUCAUUGGCACAUUACAGUUGCUAAAAUUCAAUCUGACCAACCACAUGGAAGAAAAAAAGACUGAAAAUUUAGUCAGAAAUCUCUCGGUAUAUACGUAUCCAUCACAUUACUUAUGAAAGUUGUCUGGUCCAAAAUACAGGCUUUGCCAUCUGUGGUAAUAAAUCUAAUGGCAAACUUCACAUGGUUACCUGUGAUCAUGCUUAAAAACAGACACACAUCUGAUAAUGCCAUUACUGUAGUUAGAAAUGUUUGACCACACCGAAGCUUUUUAAAAAAUUACCAGAAAUAAGUUAAACUUCAUCCAUAAAUAUAUAAAUAAAUGCAAACUUAAUGGUUAUUGUCUCUAAA